rnacentral:rRNA from 1 species
AAGGUAGCAUAAUAAAUUGACUUUUAAUUGAAGCCUUGAAUGAAAGGAUAAAUGAAUAAUUACUAUAUUAUAUUAUUUAUUAUAAUUUAUUUAAAAGGUGAAAAUCCCUUUUUAAUAUAAUAGACGAGAAGACCCUAGGAGUUUUUUUGUUGGGGCAACAUUAUAGCAUUUAAUCUAUAAAUAUAAAUUAAUAAAACGAAAAUUUUUAACAAUAAUUAAACUACCCUAGGGAUAACAGCAUAAAGUUUGUGACCUCGAUGUUGGAUUAGGGAAUUUAAAGUUAACAGCGUUAAAUGAUAGUUCUGUUCGAACUUACUUACCU